GGUGGGCCCCGCGCUCCGUGAGGGGGGGCCGGUUUCGCAGCGGGGGGGGACCCCCAGGGAUGGGUGCUCCCGGAAAAUGUGGUUAAAGGAGGAGCAAAGGCCGCAAAAUCAGAACGGUGAUAACCCCAAAAUCACACCGCUGGGACUAUGGCGAUAGUCCCAAAAUGUGGCAGCAUUCCUGUCGGUCACAGCAUCUCAAGAGCUGCAAACCCAACAAGGAGAAGAUAGACAGGAGAACCUCUGGAAAGAUACAGCCUGACUGCUGGUGAAUAAUUGGUCCAUAAUUUCCAGGCAGUCUGUAUGUUGGGUCUCAGUGCAGAAAGCAGUUGCAAGGAAGCUUGCCCAGAGGAGUAG